CCACACAGCAGCCCUGCACCACACAGUCCUUGGACAGCUGCUCGUAGACGCCUUUCUGGGGCUGGAACAGGGUCUAGGAGCACAACAGCUGGCGGUCAGCAGCUCCCUGAAGGAGCGAUCGUGUAGCAGCCACUGCAAAGCUUGCCAGGAGCCUCGGCUGUGGGCAUGGACGAGUGGAAGACAAAGAGCUUCCCGCUACAUUCUGCCGCCUGGAGGGAGGAGAGGGACGUGAGAGAAGCGUGUGCAACGUUUACUUAACCUUUGUUUGUGAAGUUACAGAAUAAAAGCAUAUGUAAGAAGCCUCACAAUAAAACCUUGGUGACUGUUUAACACUGUGAACUCUCACAACUGCUUACAAUUAAAAGCGCUGUGUGAACUUUCCCUUCACCGUGAGCCAAAGCUCUGACCUCAUUUCACUGGGAUUAGUUUGUAGGAUUCUAAACUAAACACAAACAUAUCAAGGACACAAAGAAGAUGAAAUGUGCUGCUUCACUUAGCUGAUGAACAAAGCUGGCGUGAGCAGAACAUCUGCAGCGUUCUGACAGAUCGAUACGAUCUGGAGGCUUUGGACCUUUUAGAAACAUGGACUAACAUCCAUAGUGUCUGAUUAGUGGAAUGUGGGGGGCAGGGUGUUAAAUUGAGGAACGUGAUGCCAGUAAAAUGUCACAUGUCAGUCUAAGGACUGAACAUCUCAUGUUUCAUUGUACACCUGAACUUGUAACAGCCGCAGACGACUCAAUAAGUUGCUGAAAGCCCCUCGUGUCCAGCUUCAUGCUGACAGACGUCGACCUGGACUGACCUUAAAUGCCUCCAAACCGGCCUGGAUGACGGGGGCAAAGACCGUUUCGCUCUCGUUGGUGUCUGCAAACAUGUCAGGGAUCUGGUCCAGGAGGCUGAGGAGACAAGCGACAGGAUUAUGCCAAGGCAGUGGCACGUCUCAGAGACGGCUGAUUCAGCCGACGAUAACUGCCCUGGAGUCCUGGUAGUUGACGAGGAAGCCGUCGAGCAGCGGGACGAACAUCUCGGCCGUGUCCGACACCACCAUCAUCUGAGGCUGCGCUAACGUGCUCUUCACGUUGUAGAAGUGGAGGAUCUUGUUG